rnacentral:rRNA from 1 species
UACGGGGGGGGCAAGCGUUGUUCGGAAUUACUGGGCGUAAAGGGCUCGUAGGCGGCCAACUAAGUCAGCUGUGAAAGCCCCGGGCUCAACCUGGGAACUGCGGUUGAAACUGGCGAACUAGAAUCUGGCAGAGGGGGGUGGAAUUCCACGUGUAGCAGUGAAAUGCGUAGAGAUGUGGAGGAACACCGAUGGCGAAGGCAGCCCCCUGGGCUGAGAUUGACGCUCAGGCACGAAAGCGUGGGGAGCAAACAGG